GUCUUCUGAGCCUGCUGUCGGCCUUUGAGGUCGUGGUAUGGAUGACGGAUGGCUGGCCGCUGUAUGAAUCACGCCUGAAGGGAAAGCUGCACGUUAUCAGC
rnacentral:rRNA from 1 species